rnacentral:snRNA from 1 species
UUCGAAUAGAUCCAGGUUUUCUC